AGCGAUAGAUUUGAACUUAUGAAGGCAGGUGCAUAAACCAGCAGCAAUUCUAUGAAUUGUGGGAUCCUUCGUUCAGAAUGUCGCUUUUUU
rnacentral:ncRNA from 1 species